ACUCAAAUGAAUAGACGGGGACCCGCACAAGCAGUGGAGUAUGUGGUUUAAUUCGAAGCAACGCGAAGAACCUUACCGGGGCUUGACAUCCUGCUAACGAGGCAGAGAUGCGUUAGGUGCCCUUUACGGGAAAGCAGAGACAGGUGGUGCAUGGUUGUCGUCAGCUCGUGUCGUGAGAUGUUGGGUUAAGUCCCGCAACGAGCGCAACCCCUAUUGUCAGUUGCCAUCAUUAAGUUGGGCACUCUGGCAAGACUGCCGGUGACAAAUCGGAGGAAGGUGGGGACGACGUCAAAUCAUCAUGCCCCUUAUGUCCCGGGCUACACACGUACUACAAUGGCCGGACACAAAGGGAAGCAAAGCGGCGACGCUAAGCAAAUCCCAAAAAGCGGCCUCAGUUCGGAUUGCAGGCUGAAACCCGCCUGUAUGAAGUCGGAAUUGCUAGUAAUCGCGAAUCAGAAUGUCGCGGUGAAUACGUUCCCGGGUCUUGCACACACCGCCCGU
rnacentral:rRNA from 1 species